rnacentral:rRNA from 1 species
UUUAAGGUUGACCUCGGAUCAGGUAGGGAUACCCGCUGAACUUAAGCAUAUCAAUAAGCGGAGGAAAAGAAACCAACCGGGAUUGCCUCAGUAACGGCGAGUGAAGCGGCAAGAGCUCAAAUUUGAAAUCUGGCCCCUUCGGGGUCCGAGUUGUAAUUUGCAGAGGAUGCUUCGGAUGCGGCCCCUGUCUAAGUGCCCUGGAACGGGCCGUCGGAGAGGGUGAGAAU